AGAGGCGCUACGCCCCUACGGCAGAAGGAGCGCCACUACAGACGACACUGAUUAUCACAAAAAAUGAAUAGUAUUAUAGGCUUUUGUCCAGGACAGGAAAGAGGAAAGGUUCUGGCAUAAUGUUUAACGGGUGCUGGGUGCUUGAUUUUUUAAAAAAAAAAUCGUUCAGAGGUUGGUAGAAGAACGAAAAUUUGGACUCAUCUAGUCAAGAGGAACAACUAUCCUGUUGGCCUUUAAGUGAUAAUAUGAUAUAGGUUAAAGGUCACUGUUAUCAAAUUUAAAAAUUAAUAUGUAAUAACCACAAAAUUGGGUGCUUGUUCGGGGUUUUGAAAAAUGUUUACACGCUUAAAUCUCAUCUUCUAAUUAUCGAAUUUUCAAAAACUACAUACCACUACAUCUGCUAAUAGACUUCAAGGUCUCAUGCAUACUCCUCUCUAUGCAGCCGAAGUCUAAACGGUACCACCCCUUGAAUCUACAUCUUACUCCCUUAAAUUCGUAAAAUUAUAAAAAUCAUUGAUAUCUUUAAAAUUAAAUACACAGUGAAUAUUCUCAUUAAUUGUGUCUAAUUUUACUGUUGUUUGUUGGAUUUAAUUUGUUUCAAGAAUUUAGAAACUUCAUCUUAAAGUAAAAAUUAAAAACUAAGUUUUAUUUCAUAAUUUAUAAUCGCUCUCUCACAGCCGUCACAACUGUUUCAAGGACGACACGAUACCCUUGUUGCUUCAGUGUCCCAAAAGAUUUUAUAAAUGAGAAAAUUCAAAGAGGUGAGAUAAAUAUCAAUUGACUGGACACUGUGCUUGGUCUGUGGCUCUGAUCUCAUAGACUGUCCAAAAUGGCUCUGCUGAACAGGCUUUACGGAAGAAAAUUAGGAUCAACCACGUCUGCACUCAUGCGUCCUUCAUGUUGGCCAGACUUUCUGGGGAAAAUUCAAGCACCAGAAGUCUUUUUCCAUUCAGUAGCCUCGUGAGCUUCUGUAAAAAUGAAUCUUAAUUAUUUUCUUCUGUCACACACAAAAAGGUUGUAGGACUUGCGUUGAUAAAGGCUGCAUUGAAAUUGGAAAUGGCCCUUGCAGUAGCAUCCGCUUGAGGGAACAGACUUCUUCCGGUUUAUCCAAGUGUUCAAAGCUGACAAGCUACAGGCCAUCAGGCUGCCUUCCAAGAAGAUCGUUUUACUGAUGGAUACGGCCAUGGCCUUCUUUCUGGAGUCACUUCCUCGACCUUUAUCUUCUGGAAGUGCAGCUUUGAAUUCCUCAAUGGCCGAAAGCUGCUGGCAGUUCUCAGCUGACCUCUCCCACCACCUAAAAUUAAAUAAACCAUUUUAGGAACCGGAAAUGAUGAGACCAAAGCGUCGAGCAUGCACAGAUGAGGUGACAUCACGUCAUAGGACGGUUCUGGAAGUCUUAUUGGACUAGGCAGCGACAAGCCCAAAGAGGGUGUUGGCUCUAUUAUCC